rnacentral:rRNA from 1 species
CUGAAACUGUUAGGCUAGAGUAGGUGAGAGGGAAGUAGAAUUUCAGGUGUAGCGGUGAAAUGCGUAGAGAUCUGAAGGAAUACCGAUGGCGAAGGCAGCUUCCUGGCAUCAUACCUGACACUGAGGCUCGAAAGCGUGGGUAGCAAACUAGGAUUAGAUACCCUGGUACGUCCUACGCCGUAAACGAUGUCUACUAGUCGUUGGGUCCCUUGAG